AGAACGAACGCUGGCGGCAUGCCUAAUACAUGCAAGUCGAACGAACUCUUCGGAGUUAGUGGCGCACGGGUGCGUAACGCGUGGGAAUCUGCCCUUGGGUUCGGAAUAACAGUUGGAAACGACUGCUAAUACCGGAUGAUGACGAAAGUCCAAAGAUUUAUCGCCCAGGGAUGAGCCCGCGUAGGAUUAGCUAGUUGGUGAGGUAAAGGCUCACCAAGGCGACGAUCCUUAGCUGGUCUGAGAGGAUGAUCAGCCACACUGGGACUGAGACACGGCCCAGACUCCUACGGGAGCAGCAGUAGGGAAUAUGGACAAUGGGCAAAGCCUGAUCCAGCAAUGCCGCGUGAGUGAUGAAGGCCUUAGGUUGUAAAGCUCUUUACCGAGAUGAUAAUGACAGUAUCGGAGAAUAAGCUCCGGCUAACUCCGCGCCAGCAGCCGC
rnacentral:rRNA from 1 species